rnacentral:misc_RNA from 1 species
GAUGAAGAACGCAGCAAAAUGCGAUAAGUAAUGUGAAUUGCAGAAUUCAGUGAAUCAUCGAAUCUUUGAACGCACAUUGCGCCCGCUGGUAUUCCGGCGGGCAUGCCUGUUCGAGCGUCAUUUCAACCCUCAAGCCCCCGGGUUUGGUGUUGGGGAUCGGCUCUGCCCUUCUGGGCGGUGCCGCCCCCGAAAUACAUUGGCGGUCUCGCUGCAGCCCCCAUUGCGUAGUAGCUAACACCUCGCAACUGGAACGCGGCGCGGCCAUGCCGUAAAACCCCAACUUCUGAAUGUUGACCUCGGAUCAGGUAGGAAUACCCGCUGAACUUAAGCAUAUCAAUAAGCGGAGGA